CAGCCGCCGCGGUAAUACGUAGGGUGCGAGCGUUAAUCGGAAUUACUGGGCGUAAAGCGUGCGCAGGCGGUUAUAUAAGACAGAUGUGAAAUCCCCGGGCUCAACCUGGGACCUGCAUUUGUGACUGUAUAGCUAGAGUACGGUAGAGGGGGAUGGAAUCCCGCGUGUAGCAGUGAAAUGCGUAGAUAUGCGGAGGAACACCAAUGGCGAAGGCAAUCCCCUGGACCUGUACUGACGCUCAUGCACGAAAGCGUGGGGAGCAAACAGGAUUAGAUACCCCAGUAGUCCCUGUCUCUUAUAC
rnacentral:rRNA from 1 species